UACGUAGGGGGCUAGCGUUGUCCGGAAUCAUUGGGCGUAAAGCGCGCGUAGGCGGCCAGAUAAGUCCGGUGUGAAAGUCACAGGCUCAACCUGUGAAUGCCGCUGGAAACUGUCUGGCUUGAGUCCGGAAGGGGCGAGUGGAAUUCCUGGUGUAGCGGUGGAAUGCGCAGAUAUCAGGAGGAACACCAAUAGCGAAGGCAGCUCGCUGGGACGUUACUGACACUGAGGCGCGAAAGCGUGGGGAGCGAACAGG
rnacentral:rRNA from 1 species